rnacentral:rRNA from 1 species
AAGGAAUAUUGGUCAAUGGACGCAAGUCUGAACCAGCCAUGCCGCGUGAAGGAUGAAGGUCCUCUGGAUUGUAAACUUCUUUUAUCUGGGACGAAAACGGGAUUUUUAUCUCAAUUGACGGUACCAGAGGAAUAAGCACCGGCUAACUCCGUGCCAGCAGCCGCGGUAAUGCGGAGGGUGCGAGCGUUAUCCGGAUUUACUGGGUUUAAAGGGUGCGUAGGUGGGCUUAUAAGUCAGUGGUGAAAUCUCCGAGCUUAACUUGGAAACUGCCGUUGAUACUAUAGGUCGUGAAUUAUCUGGAGGUAAGCGGAAUAUGUCAUGUAGCGGUGAAAUGCUUAGAUAUGACAUAGAACACCAAUUGCGAAGGCAGCUUACUACAUAUAAAUUGACGCUGAGGCACGAAAGCGUGGGGAUCAAACA